CAGAGGAGAGGUGGAGAAACCAGAACAGGAGAGGUUGGAGAACUUUUCUCGGGGUCGUGCAGCAAGUUGUGAGUUGAUCUGGUCCCUCUUUGGGAACCCAGCAGUCCUGAGAGCAGAUGCUGCUGAUUUUGAGAAGGGCCAAGAAGACCCUAUCAAAAGGCAAGCCAGAGAAGAUGCUAUGUUAGCUCUGCUGGGCCCUGACAGCUGGGAUCUGCUGUGAGGGUCACUGUACACAGCUUGGGAGGGCUGUCAAGGAAGGCCUGUGGAGGUCAGACACUGAACUCAGUCUGCUAUGUGACCUGAAGGUGAUCUUGGAACCUCCACGGUCUUCAGUCUCACCUGUAGGAAGAGGUGAUUUAUAUGGACACUGGUUUUCACUGGCCCUCAAGCCUGACCAGGCAGCAGGAGUCACUCACAGCAGCUGCCUCCCUGGAGAUUGUCAUUUCAUUGUUUUGCAUCAGCCACAGCAUCUGAAGCGUAUAAAAGGCUUCACAAGUGACUCGAAUCUAUCAUCUAUCGUCAGUGCCUUUGAGUUGACCGGUGGUGUGAUGGUUAACCUUGAUUGUCAACUCAAUGGGAUCUAGAAUCACCUAGGAGACAAAUCUUUGGGCUGUCUGUUCAGAAUUUUCUAAAUGAAAUUAAUGGAGAUACGGAAGACCCACCCUGAAUGUAGUCAGCAUCAUUCCAUGGGCUGCAGUUCAGACUGGAAAGGAGAAAGGUUGCUGUAUAUCUGCAUGCAUCCCUCUGCUUCCUGUCUGUAGAAGCAAUGUGAACAACGGCCUUCAGAUCCUGAGAUCCUGCUGCCAUGUCUUCCCUGUCACGAUGGACUGUGCUCCUUUAACUGCUGGUCAAAUUCAUCACAGUUUUGAAUCACUCUGCAAAUUGGGUCUGAAUCCCUACAAAAUGGUGUUGACUGUAGGAAAUUAAGAAGACAGGGCCAUAGUUCUGAGACCAAACAAGAUGGCAGCUGCAUGGGAUGAAGACUUUUGGUGAGGUCAUUGUGUAAACUGAGAUUGAGAUAGCACAUUCAGCAUCAAGGAUGGAGAGAUGGACCAGAGGUUGGCUAGACAUGAACAAAGGGGCUGCUGAAAUGGAGAUACUCCAACGACUUCACUCCAGCAUCACCUUCCCAUCUACCACCUGAAGAUUAUGGAAAUUUGGUCUUGAUGUAAAGGUGUGAAUUCUACAAUGAGAAACAGGUAAGAACCUCCACAGCUACCCAACGCCCACUGUACCCCGGCUCUGUAUACAUGGCAGGACAUGUUGAAAUAAGGAUGAGGCCAUAGUCCCAUACUUUAAGACAGUUGUGCCCAUGGUUGAUAGUCUGUGUUUAGAGCUUGGCUGGUAGACUUUGAAGGUCCAAAUCCCUGUACUGUUUGCUUAGCCAUUCUAUUUUGCAGUUUCCUAUGUAAACAGGGAGAAAGUCCUAGUAUUUACACUAUGGAAUUUUGAUAUGAACUUAGAUUAAAUGGCUUAGUGCAGGCAGAGAUUGUGAGCAAUUCCUUCCCUGCAAUAAGCACCCAUUAGCUUAGUGACCCACUCUUAUAUGAGAGAGUUGGGGAUGAAGAACGUAUGUUCCCAAGGGCCUGUAAGACAGAAGCGUGAAGUGUUAUUCAUUUUGUGUGGAUUUUGAUUCAUGAACUUACCUUAGCAAUGGAAUUUUACUUAACAGUGACUUGACUCUAUUAUUAUUGGCAAUAGUAUCGCUAAUAGUAGAAGGUACUAAUUAAGCACAUAUGUCUUAGGCCCUGUGAACCAUAUAUUAACAUAUUACACAAUGUAAUUGUGUCAUAAUCAAUACUAACAGAAAUUCCAUUUUCAGAUGUGGAAAUUAAAGUUCAGGAUGUUAAAAUAACCAAAAUGUCCAAAGUUACAGUAAACACACCAUUGUUGGGGGGUAGACUUGGUUGUCAUAUGUGAAAAUGCUGUUUUAGUCAGUGAGCUAUGCUAUCCUUAGAGAAGGCACAGCUGAAUGGGGGCAGCUGACAACUCUGAAGAAGUAACUGCCAGACUUUGGGAAGGUGCUAGAAAAGGUGGCCUUGUAGCUAAGCUUUUCACAGUCUGUACUCUCCCUGGGCUCUCCUGCCUGGUAGUAGAGACUAGGUUUCACCAUCAUAGUUUUUCCUGCAAGACUAUGGUGCUCUGGAGAUCUUUGCUGAUUUGCUUUGAUCCGAGUGAAUCACUCAGAUGGUACCACUCAACUGAUGCUCUCUGUAGUGUGGGUUACAAACCCUAAGGGUAUGCAACUGUUUCUGAAGCUGAAGCUAGAGAGAUAGUCUGCUUAGAGCCAUAAGAAUGCUCAACACAGGAAAGAUAUGUACUACAGCAAAUUUGCUCACUGUGGGCUCCUCUAGUUUCUGGGUCAUUUACAGCUGACUGCCUAUUCUUGAAUGUUCCAGAAGGCUCCUGGCUGUUCUGCUUUUCUGAGUAAUAAACUGAAGUUGCAAACUAAGAAGGCAGAUUGAAUUUUUUGCCAUGAAAACCCCACAGGUCGUUCAUAUAUAAUAGCUGGCUAUGUGCCAAUGUGACUCUUUCCCCACAACAACUUUGCCCUUCUGUCUCUGCUCGGAUAUAUCCAGGGAUGGGGAGAGGGCUACACCGCGCCCCAUCUCUGGGAAGUUCAAAUCCUCAUGAAUGGUCUUCUUACUAAGUGAACACUGCUUCACUAGACUCCCAUUUGAGCUGCCUCCCUGACCCAAGCCAGGACGGUCCCAUCACUCCCUCUACCAUAAAAAUCCCCCUUGCAAAUGGAUAUCAACCUCUGCCACUGUCACAGAUCCUGAGUUGUCAGUGACUCCUGUUCAACAUAAGUGGCUGAGAACACCAGGGCACUAACUGAGCGUGACAUCAAAAUAUGAUUUCAAUAAGCCUGAGUAGCACACUGUAAAAUAACAAUCUUGUUCCUGUAGCCACAACCUACUUUUGACAUAUUUCUAUCUGAAAGGGCUAAUACCCAUUCAGAAUUGUCAGUCUCAGGGUUCUAGAACCAAACAGUGGGAAAUUGCCAAGAGUCGGGAAAAGGGAGAGGACUACAGAGCAGAGAGGACAGAUGAGCCUCUGAUCCUUCCAUAAGGCUCUGCAUGGACAGAUUGGAGGCAUGAGAUAAGGUCCAGACCAAAGAUAAUGGUCAGAUGUAAGAGACCCUGGCAAAGGAUGCUGGCCUUGGAUUGGCGGUGGGAAACUUUGCUUUUAAUAUGGACUGAAUUGUGAACUCUUCAUUUAUAUAUCGAAGCUAUAACAGUUACUUUUAGUGCCUUAGAGAUACAGAGUCAAGGAACUAAAAUUAAAUGAAGGGCUAAGGUGGAGAUUUGAUGCAAAAGAGGUAAUGUCCUUAUAAGCAGAGUCACAAGAUCUUCUUCUUCUCUUCCUUCGUCUGUCUGUCUCUGUCUGUCUGUCCACCCGUCUGAGUCAUACAUAGAAACUGUCCAUCCACUGACCAGAAAGAGGGUCUUUAUAGCUUCCAGGACUGUGUGGAGACACAUUUGGCUUGUGUCAGCUCUCAGGUCUCUGGCCUCUCAUUACAGCAGUUCAGGCUGACAAACAUGUACAGAGCACUGGUCCAGGUACCAUAGCAACCGCUGCCAGGCUCACACAUAUAGUCAGGACAGGUGGCAUGGAGCCUGGGUAUGCUUGCCGACACCCAGCCCUGCUUCCUCCUCUGUAGGUCAUGUGGAGAUGAAAUGCCAGCGGGUACAUCUGAAGUCAAUGACAAUCUCUUUACAUUUUUACUGAGGUCUCUCCUGUGCAGGACAAGCCUGUCCCUCUCUCACAACUGCUCCCACCGUAGUGGCUGCACUGUCUACUUAAGGGUCUGUCUUUCCUACUUCUCUUAUUCCUAACCUGUAAGCCAAACUACCUGAAUGGGCUAACAAGGAAAACCAAUGUUGAGCUCACUGCUAUCGUUUUGGUUUUUUGUUUUUGUUUUUUGUUUAGAUUUAUUUUUAUCUUAUGUGCAUGGGUGUUUUGUUUCAAAGGCACCCAAACUGCCUGUUCACGUAAGAGAUGCUCCUACAGCACCUUAACUAGUGAGUGCCUGGCCCUCCACCCCACUGAAGGAACCUGCAAACUAAAGGGAGUCCCCUUCUUCAUUUACCUCCUCAUACCUAACCCAUCCCUAGCACUGUAUAUAGCCCUGGUAUCAAUGCCUAAAGUACAGGGUGAUUCACCUACCAAGGCUUUGGAAAAGUUAAUUUUGGAAAGAAACUCAAUACGAACUAUCUUCUUGUACCUAGAAACUAAUAUUCCCUUCUAAGGUAAAUCAUCAGUCAUCUGCAUUGUUUUAGGGCCCGGGGCACCGGCUCUGCGAUUCACACUGCUGUGCUUCCUGGGAUGGGAGAGGGCAAGACAAACACAGCAACACUUUUCAUUUAGAGCAGAGUGUGCUUCCGGGAUGGUGCCAGGCUGCUGCAGAGCUGGGUGAGGCAGAGCCCAGAAGGCUCCCUGAAAGGUGGGAUUUGAGAGUCCUUCUUAGAUGAUCAGAUCUGGAAGUAAGAGAAACAGGAAAAGAAAGAUACGGCACCUAGGGAUGUUAGGUUCCAGAGAGGGAUUUUUCUCAAGACUCUUGGAAAGAGCUAUGAAUGCCAAGUUCAGGAAGUUGGAGGGUCUUUUAAUAGUUUCAGGAGAAGGGUGUGUGAGCUAUAGACUGGGAGGGAAGAAAGUGAUGUCAGAUGGCUGGGGGUUUGUAACCACUGGCAAAAUAAUGGGCUGGACCAGGCAGGGCAGAGAAGAGGGUCAGGAAGAACAGUUGAAGAUUAGACUAUGACUCUCCAUGACAUGGUGGCAGCUACAUAAGUCCUUGCGUGGAUGUGGACAAGAGUUCUGACUGUGAGAUGAGAGUGUUUCCUCUCAAUGGCUUCUGGUUCCUCUGUCGGACAGUAGCCAUUGCUGAGGGUGGGGGCAGGGCUAAUGCUGGAGUAGAGAUGAGGACAAAGGAUACAGGCCCAGCUGCAAUCCUCAAGCUUGUAAAUGUGGAGAAGCUGCAUUUCUCAGCCUCUCAUCACUAGGACAAAAUACCUGGCGUAGUUAACUAAUAAAAAAUAAAGGAGCCAGGGCCAACCAUAAAUAAGAUGAAUAACAAUUGACAUCCAGGGAAGAGAAAUCUCCCUGAGAAUUCCCUUCU